UCCAGAAAGGAAAAGUUUAGAAGAACAAAAAAUAUAAAAGAAGGCUUUGACCAGACAUGACCUGCGGACACAUCAGUGUGGUUUUCUAAUGGCGGAGGACCAACGGAGACCCGGCGGAGGACCGGUGAGUGAAGGCAUAUGCUGCUCUGCCGGACAGGCAUCCCAGAUACAGAUGUGAUGUCAGCUCCAGAAACCUCCCAGCAUCUCAUCCUGUAGCCCUGCUCCCUCAGACUUCAAUUUUCAUCAUCUCAUCAGACAGUUCUGCAGCUGAUGAGACUGCUCAAGGUCAAGAGGGUAAAUUAUCUCAUUCAAUCACUGUGAUGAUCACUUCAUCUUGGCAGACAGUUUGCUUUCCUCCCUGAAGACUAUCUCUAUGACAACAGAGUGAGAAGAGGAUCAGGGGAGACUGCCG